rnacentral:rRNA from 1 species
UACGUAGGUCCCGAGCGUUGUCCGGAUUUAUUGGGCGUAAAGCGAGCGCAGGUGGUUUAUUAAGUCUGGUGUAAAAGGCAGUGGCUCAACCAUUGUAUGCAUUGGAAACUGGUAGACUUGAGUGCAGGAGAGGAGAGUGGAAUUCCUAGUGUAGCGGUGAAAUGCGUAGAUAUUAGGAGGAACACCAGUGGCGAAGGCGGCCUGCUGGACGAUAACUGACGUUGAGGCUCGAAAGCGUGGGGAGCAAACAGG